GAUGAACGCUAGCUACAGGCUUAACACAUGCAAGUCGAAGGACCGGCGCACGGGUGAGUAACACGUAUCCAACAUGCCCUUUACUCGGGGAUAGCCUUUCGAAAGAAAGAUUAAUACCCGAUGUAAAGGAUGGGGAUGCGUUCCAUUAGGUUGUUGGUGAGGUAACGGCUCACCAAGCCUUCGAUGGAUAGGGGUUCUGAGAGGAAGGUCGCCCACAGGGGAACUGCGACACGGUCCAAACUCAUACGGGAGGCAGCAGUGAGGAAUAGUGGUCAAUGGGCGAUAGCCUGAACCAGCCAAGUAGCGUGAAGGAUGAAGGCUUAGAGGUCGUAAGCUUCUUUUAUAUAAGAAUAUGUAUUAUAUGAAUAAGGAUCGGCUAACUCCGUGCCAGCAGCCGCGGUAAUAC
rnacentral:rRNA from 1 species